AAAGACUUAGUCCUAACCUUACCAUUAACUCUUGCUAGACAUAUACAUGCAAGUAUCCGCGCCCCAGUGUAAAUGCCCUUAAUACCUACAAUCCACAGGCAAAAGGAGCUGGCAUCAGGCACGCCCAUUGCAGCCCAAGACGCCUUGCUUAGCCACACCCCCACGGGUACUCAGCAGUAAUUAACAUUAAGCAAUAAGUGCAAACUUGACUUAGUUAUAGCAACACCUAGGGUUGGUAAAUCUUGUGCCAGCCACCGCGGUCACACAAGAGACCCAAGUUAAUCGUGUACGGCGUAAAGAGUGGGUCCAUGAUUUAUCUCAGUAAUUAAGGUCAAAGUGUAACUGAGCUGUCAUAAGCUUAAGAUGCAUCUAAAUUCACCCUAAAAACGACCUCAACUAACAUGACUAAUUAAGCCCCACGAAAGCCAGGACACAAACUGGGAUUAGAUACCCCACUAUGCCCGGCCCUAAAUCUCGAUGCCUAGCAUACUAAAGCAUCCGCCCGAGAACUACGAGCACAAACGCUUAAAACUCUAAGGACUUGGCGGUGCCCCAAACCCACCUAGAGGAGCCUGUUCUAUAAUCGACAACCCACGAUACACCCAACCAUUUCUUGCUAAAACAGCCUACAUACCGCCGUCGCCAGCCCACCUCCUCUGAGAGUACAACAGUGAGCACAAUCGCCCUAACCCCGCUAACAAGACAGGUCAAGGUAUAGCCUAUGAAAUGGAAGAAAUGGGCUACAUUUUCUAAUUUAGAAAACCCCUACUUCUUAAACGAAAAGGAGUAUGAAACAACUCCUAGAAGGCGGAUUUAGCAGUAAAGUGGGAUAAUAAAGCCCCCUUAAAGCCGGCUCUGAGGCACGUACAUACCGCCCGUCACCCUCCUCACAAGCUCUUAUCCCCCAUAAAUAAUACACCCGUUUGCCAAAGAUGAGGUAAGUCGUAACAAGGUAAGUGUACCGGAAGGUGCACUUAGUACAC
rnacentral:ncRNA from 1 species